AUGAUAGGUUUCAGAGAAAGAGAAAGGUCAACAAGAGAAAAGAGGGUUUCUUUAACAAGAGCUUCAAUUUUGUUGUUGUGGGUCAUGUUAGUUUUUGCUCUUAUAUUAAUCUUGUUUUUCUCCAUCAACAAUGAAACUAACCACAACAACAACAAGAACCAUUCAAUUCGGUUACUCCGACAACAACCGCAGCAACAGAAACAACAACAACGUAGUUUCAACAAAGCACUAUUGUUUCAUGCAACUCCAACAAAAAGAACAAGAACAAGAACAAGAACUAGAACUACUCGUAUUGAUGAUCAAGCUGGCGUUCCAGAAAAAGCAUUUUAUGAUGAAGAGAAAAGAGUAAUUCACACUGGUCCAAAUCCUCUUCACAACUAG